UACGGGGGGGGCAAGCGUUGUUCGGAAUUACUGGGCGUAAAGGGUUCGUAGGUGGCCAACUUAGUCAGACGUGAAAUCCCUCAGCUUAACUGGGGAACUGCGUCUGAUACUGGAUGGCUUGAGUGCAGGAGAGGAACGCGGAAUUCCAGGUGUAGCGGUGAAAUGCGUAGAUAUCUGGAGGAAUACCGGUGGCGAAGGCGGCAUCCUGGACCAUUACUGACGCUGAGGCGCGAAAGCUAGGGGAGCAAACGGG
rnacentral:rRNA from 1 species